rnacentral:rRNA from 1 species
GCCCCAGUAACGGCGAGUGAAGCGGCAGCAGCUCAAAUUUGAAAUCUGGCCCCUGGGGCCCGAGUUGUAGUUUGCAGAGGAUGCUCCGGGCGCGGCGCCUUCCGAGUUCCCUGGAACGGGACGCCACAGAGGGUGAGAGCCCCGUCUGGUCGGACGCCAAGCCUGUGUGGAGCUCCUUCGACGAGUCGAGUAGUUUGGGAAUGCUGCUCAAAGCGGGAGGUAUAUGUCUUCUAAAGCUAAAUACCGGCCAGAGACCGAUAGCGCACAAGUAGAGUGAUCGAAAGAUGAAAAGCACUUUGGAAAGAGGGUUAAAGAGCACGUGAAAUUGUUGAAAGGGAAGCGCCCGUGACCAGACCUGGGCCCGGCGAAUCACCUGGCGUUCUCGCCGGCGCACUUCACCGGGCACAGGCCAGCAUCAGCUCGACGCGGGGGACAAAGGCGGCGGGAACGUGGCUCCCCAGGGAGUGUUAUAGCCCGCCGCGCAAUGCCCCGCGCCGGACUGAGGUACGCGCACCGCAAGGAUGCUGGCGUAAUGGUCAUCGGCGACCCGUCUUGAAACACGGACCAAGGAGUCGUCUUCGUAUGCGAGUGUUGGGGUGCCAAACCCCCGCGCGGAAUGAAAGUGAACGCAGGUGAGAGCUCCGGCGCAUCACCGACCGAUCCUGAUGUUCUCGGAUGGAUUUGAGUAGGAGCAUACGGGGCCGGACCCGAAAGAAGGUGAACUAUGCCUGUGUAGGGUGAAGCCAGAGGAAACUCUGGUGGAGGCUCGCAGCGGUUCUGACGUGCGAAUCGAUCGUCAAACAU